UGACCACUUCCCUUUUGGGGUAAGUUAAGGCCAUACGGACAGCCGGGUCAAAUGCCGA
rnacentral:sRNA from 1 species